UGAUCCUGGCUCAGAUUGAACGCUGGCGGCAUGCCUUACACAUGCAAGUCGAACGGCAGCACGGGGGCAACCCUGGUGGCGAGUGGCGAACGGGUGAGUAAUACAUCGGAACGUGUCCUGUAGUGGGGGAUAGCCCGGCGAAAGCCGGAUUAAUACCGCAUACGCUCUACGGAGGAAAGGGGGGGAUCUUAGGACCUCUCGCUACAGGGGCGGCCGAUGGCAGAUUAGCUAGUUGGUGGGGUAAAGGCCUACCAAGGCGACGAUCUGUAGCUGGUCUGAGAGGACGACCAGCCACACUGGGACUGAGACACGGCCCAGACUCCUACGGGAGGCAGCAGUGGGGAAUUUUGGACAAUGGGGGCAACCCUGAUCCAGCAAUGCCGCGUGUGUGAAGAAGGCCUUCGGGUUGUAAAGCACUUUUGUCCGGAAAGAAAACCGCCGCCCUAAUAUGGUGGUGGGAUGACGGUACCGGAAGAAUAGCACC
rnacentral:rRNA from 1 species